rnacentral:lncRNA from 1 species
AAGAUUUACCAUCUUGAUCAUUUUUUUUUCCUUGACACAGAGUUUUACUUUGUCGCCCAGGCUGGAGUGCAGUGGCGAGAUCAUGGCUCACGUCAACCUCUGCUUCCCCAGCUCAAGAGAUUCUCCUGCCUCAGCCUCCGGAAUAGCUGGGACUACAGAACAGAGCUGAGAUUCUGUCCAGUUCUCUGUCAUCCACGUGCUUCAGAGACACCCGGACCCAUCUCCUGGUUGGUCUUGAUUGGCCAAGUCAGUCAAGGAAAUCCCUUGCUAAUCACUGACUUAGGAAGGGGUUUACAAGCCUGAGGCAGGGAAGAAGACUACGGUAGUGGAGGAGAUUCUGGAAAAGGAUUCUUAACUUUUAAAAAGAGCACAAGAAAAGGAUCCCCAGUCCUUAAAAGGAGACACAAAGAAGGGAUAGAAUUCUAUUUUGCCUCUGGACGGUGUGUGGAGACGCAAUGCCUGGAGCCACUACAGUCAUUUUGUGAUCAUGAGAAGAAUGAUUGAUCUGAUGAGGACAGAAUGUGCCCUACUCUGGGCUUCCAGUUAUAUGAGGAAAAGACUGCAGACCAGGAAAUGCAGGUUUCAGACUAGGAGAAGAUUCUGCAAAUCAUGUGGUGGAGAGAAAGCUGUGUUUCCUGGGGGGUUAGCUGCAGCUCCAGUGACCAUACCCCAGGGUCAAGUCACAAAACUCCCCAGGAUCAAUGUUGAACUGUGUCCAGGAAGGAGCAAGAAAUGAAGAGUGUGGCCGGGCGCGGUGGCUCACGCUUGUAAUUUCAGCACUUUGGGAGGCUGAGGCGGGCGGAUCCCGAAUUCAAGAGAUUGAGACUGUCCUGGCUAACACAGUGAAACCCUGUCUCUACUAAAAAUACAAAAAAUUAGCCAGGCGUGGUGGCACACGCCUGCAGUCCCAGCUACUCGGAGGCUGAGGCAGGAGAAUGGCAUGAACCUGGGAGGUGGAGCUUGCAGUGAGCCAAGAUUGCACCACUGCACUCCAACCUGGGCAACAACAAUGAAGCUCCGUCUCAAAAAAAAAAAAAAGAAAGAAAGAAAGAAAAAGAAAAUAAAUGAAGAGUGGGGGAAGGAAGACUGCGGACUGAGGAGAAGCCUGGCUUCUCAGAGAGUGGGAGAGGCUCUGUCUUGGCUCAUCUUCAUUUCACCAGAGACUAAUCUAAGAAGACUUUAUGAGGCAUUACCAACAACAGAAGAAGUAAGUCUGAAGAUCUCAAACCUUCAUCGACUGCUCAAAAGUCCCAAAGUGUCAUUGCAGGACUAUUCACAAGAGCAAAGAUGCAGAACCAAUCCAGGAGUUCAUCAACAGUGGAUUGGAUAAGGAAAAUGUGAAGAAGAGGAAAUUUGGACCCAGACACAGAGGGAAGAUGAUGUGAAGACACUGAGCGGAGACAGCCAUCUACAAACCCAGGAGAGAGGCCUCAGAAGGAAUCCACGCUGCCAACACCUUGAUCCUGGAUUUCCAGCCUCCAGAAAGGUGAGAAAAGAAAUGUCUGUUGUUAAAGCUACUCAGUCUGCGGUAUUUCUUAUGGCAGCCGGAGCCAACUCCUACGGUGUAAGUCAUGAACUAGACUAGUGGACUUCAUACUUUUUGACUACACCCAACAGUAACAAAUUUAUUUUGCAUCGUG